GGCACUUGUGGCUUCACUGCUUAUGGCUGAGGACAGCAGGGAAGGCAAUUGGGGAUCAUGUCCUCUGCAUGCCCCAGCAACUACUUGCAGGUAUCCUCUUUUUUGAUACUGGCAAUAUGGUAACCCUACCCAGGCUCAAAUCCCAGGGGGGGCCUGAAAGUGAGCAGAAAGGAAGUAUUAUCCCCAUUUUACAGUUGAGAAACAAACACCAAAAAUAAUGCACAGUGGAACAUUUACCUAGCUUCAUGAUUCUCAGACUGGAGUACAUCACCUUGGGGCACAUACAGCACCAUAUAAAUAAAGCAUAUUCUUAUCCUAGUUAAAGUUCUUUGCAUUUCUACCUUAAAGGGACAUUUGAUUAUAGUCCAAUCACACAACUCUCUAAUUUUCCAGCAACAGUGCUAUAUGCUGCUAUAUCUAGUACCUUUCCAAAAA